rnacentral:antisense_RNA from 1 species
CAUUCUCCGGCCAAGCCCAGCUGCCUAGAGCGAGCUCCACUCCUCCAUCUGUUCGCCGGGGUCCUCGCUCCCCUGCCGGGGCCGGCGAGACGGCGUGAGGCCGGAGGGGGAUUUGCAAGGAAACCUGCCUGCUUCCCGCUCCCAUUGCUCCAUCCCCGCUGCCUCCUGCCUCCUGCUUCUCUCCUGCGUCUUUCCAACUCUCCCCUGUCGCCACUGAGGAAAGGUUAUCAGGACAGGACGCAGGGAGCCAGAAGACCAUCUGAAGGAAGCCCGCUUCCUGGGGCAGCGCCAUUGCUCCUGGCUCUCAGGCUGCCAGUCUCCCACACCGACGCUCUACUGCCCGCAUCUCGGCCAGCUGGGUCACCCAGCCCCUUUCGACUCUCCCCUGGCACGCAGCCUUCUCCUUCACUCGGCCUGCCUCGCUGCUGCUGUAAUUCCUCUUGUCUCCUGGGAGAAAUGAGAUUGUUUUCCCAGGACUUCCACAUCCCACUUCUGUCACGUUUCACAAACAGGGAGGAAGCCCUGUCAAGAUCUGGUGUGU